GACGAACGCUUGCGGCGUGCUUAACACAUGCAAGUCGAACGGAAAGGCCCUGCUUUUGUGGGGUGCUCGAGUGGCGAACGGGUGAGUAACACGUGAGUAACCUGCCCUUGACUUUGGGAUAACUUCAGGAAACUGGGGCUAAUACCGGAUAGGAGCUCCUGCUGCAUGGUGGGGGGUGGAAAGUUUCGGCGGUUGGGGAUGGACUCGCGGCUUAUCAGCUUGUUGGUGGGGUAGUGGCUUACCAAGGCUUUGACGGGUAGCCGGCCUGAGAGGGUGACCGGCCACAUUGGGACUGAGAUACGGCCCAGACUCCUACGGGAGGCAGCAGUGGGGAAUAUUGCACAAUGGGCGGAAGCCUGAUGCAGCAACGCCGCGUGCGGGAUGACGGCCUUCGGGUUGUAAACCGCUUUCGCCUGUGACGAAGCGUGAGUGACGGUAAUGGGUAAAGAAGCACCGGCUAACUACGUG
rnacentral:rRNA from 1 species